rnacentral:rRNA from 1 species
UACGUAGGGACCAAGCGUUGUUCGGAUUUACUGGGCGUAAAGGGCGCGUAGGCGGCGUGGUAAGUCACUUGUGAAAUCUCUGAGCUUAACUCAGAACGGCCAAGUGAUACUGCUGUGCUAGAGUGCAGAAGGGGCAAUCGGAAUUCCUGGUGUAGCGGUGAAAUGCGUAGAUAUCAAGAGGAACACCUGAGGUGAAGACGGGUUGCUGGGCUGACACUGACGCUGAUGCGCGAAAGCCAGGGGAGCAAACGGG